rnacentral:rRNA from 1 species
UACGGGGGGAGCAAGCGUUGUUCGGAUUUACUGGGCGUAAAGGGCGCGUAGGCGGUCGUGACAAGUCACUUGUGAAAUCUCCGGGCUUAACUCGGAACGGCCAAGUGAUACUGCAGUGCUAGAGUGUGGAAGGGGCAAUCGGAAUUCUUGGUGUAGCGGUGAAAUGCGUAGAUAUCUGGAGGAACACCGGUGGCGAAGGCGGCAUCCUGGACCAACACUGACGCUGAGUGAGCGAAAGCCAGGGGAGCAAACGGG